AGAGAAAUCAAACUCCUAGCCCCUGCGCCUACGUUGUUCAUCCGGAACGAUAUGGCGCCUGGGCCGUGGCGAAGUUAGCCACCAGGGUGCAGAGGGGAAACGCUCGCAUCUCCCGACUUUGGAAAGGUGUUAUGGUACCGCAACU
rfam:Serratia marcescens subsp. marcescens Db11, complete genome